rnacentral:lncRNA from 1 species
GGCUUGUUCGGUUGGGCCGUUCUCGGCCGGGAUCGGAGCCCAAUCCCCGUGGAAAAUCCCGGCGUGGAAAGGAUACCGGCCCACGCAAGUAUAGGCGUUCGGUUAAGCCCAGGCGAGAUUUUAUCCCGGCCCACCCCGGCCGGGAAAUAUUCAGCUUCUCUGGUGGCGAGGAAAAAAAUCCUCUCGACGCAGCGACACAAAGAGAGGGGGCGCUGCAGCGGGGACAGCUGCACAGCGCAGCGCGACUCCGACGCGACGGCGACGGCACGCUCUCUCCUCCGGCAGUUGACUCCUCCGGUGGCCACCUUCUCCCCGGUGAGUUCCUUCACUUCCUAUCUCCCCUAG